CACAUACACACACACACACACAAUGUACGCAAAAACAGGCAGAAGUCAAGGCCAGCCUGAAUGUACAGAAAACUGGUCAAAUGCAACGUCGGACAUGUCUAAUGCCACAAAGCACCUUUCUUUUUCUUUUUCUUUUCCUUUUUUUUUUU
rnacentral:ribozyme from 1 species